AAUUUGAAGAGUGAAACUAUAUUGGGAAAUUUGUGACAGAACAUAGUUAGAUUAACCUAAGGGCCCGUUUGGUUCGAGUUAUAUAAUAUUACAAAGUAUCUUGACAUAUCCAGGUAUUUUGGAUUUCGGCGUGAGAUUACUACUGAUGCUGCAUUAGCGCGUUUGGUUUAAUUCAGUAAUGUAAUACUAGAUUACAGUGUUUAUAGCAUUAAUACGUUUGGUUCAGUUUAUAAAAUUUAGUAAUCCUAACAUAAAAGUAUAGUUUUUUUUCAAAUUACCCUUGAUGUGGUCAUUUGAAUAUUAUGUUUUACGGAAAUGACGAAUGGAGGGAAGGAGAUUAUGAUGAUUACCUGGGAGGACGACACAAUAGAAGAUGAUAGGUGUUCAUGCGCGCAAGAGAGAGAGAGAGAGAGAGGCGUGCGAGAGAGAGGAGAGAAGGCGAGAGAGAGAUGAAAAUAAAGCUGUUAAUUAGAUUUGGGGUUGUUGGAGUGUCACGCCCCGGAUUACACUUUCCCCGGGCACGCCGACAAAUCCGCCGUAUACAAAGGAAUUUCCCCUGUAUACGAAGCGAUAGCUGUACCUGUAAAUCAAACACUACUACAAACAGUAGUAGAGAGCUGCUAGAGAAAACUGAAGCUAAAUAAAACAGAGUUUCAUAUACAUAGAUCAGAUCC
rnacentral:lncRNA from 1 species